ensembl:Y_RNA Y_RNA Y RNA
GGCUGGUCCAAGUGCAGUGGUAUUUACAAAUAACUGAUCACAACCAGUUACAAAUUUCUUUGUUCCUUUUCCAUCCCCACUGCUUCACUUGACUAGCCUUUA